rnacentral:rRNA from 1 species
GAUAAACGCUGGCGGCGUGCAUGAGACAUGCAAGUCAUACGGGCGAGCUUGCUCGCUAGUGGCGGACGGCUGAGUAACGCGUAGGUGACCUGCCCCGAAGUGGGGAAUAACUGCCCGAAAGGGUGGCUAAUACCGCAUGUGGUGGUUCGUUCAAUCGAACCAUCAAAGCAGCGAUGCGCUUCGAGAGGGGCCUGCGUCCGAUUAGCUCGUUGGUGGGGUAACGGCUCACCAAGGCGACGAUCGGUAGGUGGUCUGAGAGGACGAUCACCCAGACUGGGACUGAGACACGGUCCAGACUCCUACGGGAGGCAGCAGUCGGGAAUUUUGCGCAAUGGGCGAAAGCCUGACGCAGCAACGCCGCGUGAGGGAUGAAGGCCUUCGGGUUGUAAACCUCUUUUCCCAGGGAAGAUGAUGACGGUACCUGGGGAAUAAGUCACGGCUAACUACGUGCCAGCCGCCGCAGUAACAC